UGUAUUAUCUUAGCUUCAAGAGCACAAUAUAUAAUGGGGUGGCUUAUUUGAUCAUCUGAUGCAGAAAUCUUUCAAAUAAUCGGCUAGAAGGAGAUAUUCCAGUUAAUGGUUCCUUUUCACUGUUAAAUCCUAUCAGUUUUAUGAAUAAUGGACUCAAUAAUCCUCCUGUUGCUCCGCAGUCUCCUGUUAUCCCGUCUACAGCUUCAACUUCAUCAGGCAGUAUUGCCAUUGUUGCUCGAGUUGCCCUACUGUUUUCUGCGCCUACAAUUAUAUUUGCUUAAACGACGUGUUAUUUCCUUUAAUGUACUUGGUUAGUAUUUUAGUACCUCAAUGUAAG